rnacentral:rRNA from 1 species
CCCUACGGGGUGCACCAGGAAAUUCACCAGAUGGACAUUGUCAAACCGAUCACCAAGUGGGCGGCCACCUGUUUCGACAUCAAGCGGAUUCCCGAAUACCUUUCUCUGGCCUUUCGUUACGCCGUGGAGGGAAGACCGGGGCCGGUCUUCCUGGAGCUGCCGCCGGAUAUUUUGAGCAUUCAGGUGGAGGAGUCUCUGGUUUCCCUGCCGUCAUGCACGACGCGGAAAUACCGCAUGCAUCCGGAUGACCGGGACCUUCGGGCCGCGGCGGAGCUGAUCAACAACGC